UGGCGGGUCUUACACAUGCAAGUCGUACCAUGGUAGACAGGAACGGGGUGGAUUAGUGGCGAACGGGUGAGUAACACGUGGGCAAUCUGCCCUUCACUCUGGGACAAGCCCUGGAAACGGGGUCUAAUACCGGAUACGACUGCGGGAGGCAUCUCCUGUGGUGGAAAGCUCCGGCGGUGAAGGAUGAGCCCGCGGCCUAUCAGCUUGUUGGUGGGGUAAUGGCCUACCAAGGCGACGACGGGUAGCCGGCCUGAGAGGGCGACCGGCCACACUGGGACUGAGACACGGCCCAGACUCCUACGGGAGGCAGCAGUGGGGAAUAUUGCACAAUGGGCGAAAGCCUGAUGCAGCGACGCCGCGUGAGGGAUGACGGCCUUCGGGUUGUAAACCUCUUUCAGCAGGGAAGAAGCGAGAGUGACGGUACCUGCAGAAGAAGCGCCGGCUAACUACGUGCCAGCAGCCGCGGUAAUACGUAGGGCGCAAGCGUUGUCCGGAAUUAUUGGGCGUAAAGAGCUCGUAGGCGGCUUGUCACGUCGGAUGUGAAAGCCCGAGGCUUAACCUCGGGUCUGCAUUCGAUACGGGCUGGCUAGAGUGUGGUAGGGGAGAUCGGAAUUCCUGGUGUAGCGGUGAAAUGCGCAGAUAUCAGGAGGAACACCGGUGGCGAAGGCGGAUCUCUGGGCCAUUACUGACGCUGAGGAGCGAAAGCGUGGGGAGCGAACAGGAUUAGAUACCCUGGUAGUCCACGCCGUAAACGUUGGGAACUAGGUGUUGGCGACAU
rnacentral:rRNA from 1 species